UGAUCCAACUUUAUUUUAUUUUAUAUAUUUUGAGACAGGCUCUUGUUAAGUGGCUAAGUUGCCCACACUGAGCUCAAACUUGGGAUCCUCCUGCCCCAGCCUAUCAGAGCGGAGGCAUUACAGGUGGGUGACACCACAACUGGCUAAAAAUAUUGUUUUAAAAGUAAGAAAAGUCAUCUGUUGGAGUCCUGUCUUUGUUGUUCAGCAGGUUUCUUAACCCCCAUCCACAGGGGGAUGAUAACAACACAUGAGACUAAAGUGACGAUGGUUGCGGAUAUGAAUUAAUUGCAUGCCUCCCUUCCAGAUUCUGGUCCAAACCAGACCAGGACCUAUGUGGAGAUUGAAAUACAGUAACUGGUUUGUUAUAGACACUGCUGGAUUGGCGAGCAAGAGAGGAAGGACCGGGCUCGAACAGGGCUUCCUGCAUCCAGACCUGGAGCCUUUCUGGGGAAACUUGGAUCUGCAGAGCAGCAGCCUAGGCUGGCAACAGGCUGCCUCAGCUCCCGUGGGAGCAGAAGAAAGAGCAGCUGGUGACAGGGUGAGAGGAUAUUCCCAAGGGUCUAAGAAAGGUCUUGACUAUCCUAGCUGCCACUGAAAGGUUUCACCCAGGUUUCCAGCUUCUCCUGGUGAGUGACUCCCAUCGACAUUCCCCAGUCUUCCUUCAGGCUGGGGUGGACAGCAGGUGGGAAACAGUGGAGGAAUA
rnacentral:lncRNA from 1 species